CACCCACAGUUCCUGUCACUAAACCUGUAAUCAGGGCAAAUGUUCCUGUCACUAAACCUCUGGUCAAGGAAAAUGACACUGCCACCCUCACGUGUGAGACUGAAAAUGCUGAAAGGAUCGCGUGGGGCCACAGUAAUGGCAGACUCCCCUCUGCUAUAACCCUAUCCAAUGAUAACAGGACUCUCACCUUCUCCAGUAUCAAACGCGUAGACUCAGGAGAUUAUUAUUGUGAGGCUGAGAAUGUUAUCAAUAAGAUCAAAAGUGACAUCUACACACUGACUGUAAACUGUAAGUAAUUAUAUAUUGUGACUACUAAUAAUAUACAAACAUUUGCUGUUGCUGAGUGUUUUCUGUAAGAAAUGUAUUGUUCAUGUAGAAUUGGUUUUACAUGAGUGUAUCCUGUGAAAUGACUACUGUCCGAUAUCCAUAUCAAAGAGUAUCUAUCUUCAGUAUUGUCUGAGCUUAU